rnacentral:rRNA from 1 species
AGAGUUUGAUCCUGGCUCAGGAUGAACGCUGACAGAAUGCUUAACACAUGCAAGUCAACUUGAACUUCGGUUUGGGUGGCGGACGGGUGAGUAACGCGUAAAGAACUUGCCUCACAGAUAGGGACAACAUUUGGAAACGAAUGCUAAUACCUGAUAUUAUGAUUUUAGGGCAUCCUAGAAUUAUGAAAGCUAUAUGCGCUGUGAGAGAGCUUUGCGUCCCAUUAGCUAGUUGGAGAGGUAACGGCUCACCAAGGCGAUGAUGGGUAGCCGGCCUGAGAGGGUGAUCGGCCACAAGGGGACUGAGACACGGCCCUUACUCCUACGGGAGGCAGCAGUGGGGAAUAUUGGACAAUGGACCAAGAGUCUGAUCCAGCAAUUCUGUGUGCACGAUGAAGUUUUUCGGAAUGUAAAGUGCUUUCAGUUGGGAAGAAAAAAUGACGGUACCAACAGAAGAAGUGACGGCUAAAUACGUG